GACGAACGCUGGCGGCGCGCCUAACACAUGCAAGUCGAGGGGCAUCGGGAGGGAAGCUUGCUUCCCUUGCCGGCGACCGGCGCACGGGUGAGUAACGCGUAUCGAACCUGCCUCAUACCCGGGGAUAGCCUUGCGAAAGUAAGAUUAAUACCCGAUGGUUUCCUUUUAUCUCCUGAUAGAGGGAAUAAAGAAAUUCGGUAUGGGAUGGCGAUGCGUCUGAUUAGCUAGUUGGAGGGGUAACGGCCCACCAAGGCGACGAUCAGUAGCCGACCUGAGAGGGUGACCGGCCACAUUGGGACUGAGACACGGCCCAA
rnacentral:rRNA from 1 species